rnacentral:rRNA from 1 species
AGAUUGAACGCUGGCGGCAUGCCUUACACAUGCAAGUCGAACGGUAGAGUAGCGAUACUUGAGAGUGGCGAACGGGUGAGUAAUAUAUCGGAACGUGCCCAGUCGUGGGGGAUAACGUAGAGAAAUUUACGCUAAUACCGCAUACGAUCUAAGGAUGAAAGCGGGGGACUCGCAAGAGCCUCGCGCGAUUGGAGCGGCCGAUAUCAGAUUAGCUAGUUGGUGGGGUAAAAGCUCACCAAGGCGACGAUCUGUAGCUGGUCUGAGAGGACGACCAGCCACACUGGAACUGAGACACGGUCCAGACUCCUACGGGAGGCAGCAGUGGGGAAUUUGGACAAGUGGGCGCAAGCCUGAUCCAGCAAUGCCGCGUGCGAGGA